CUCGAGCUGUUCAUAAUACUGAAAAAAUAGAGCACCUUGCUCGAAUUGUGGCUCUCCAAAAUAUUCUUGCUAAGAAGAAUGUUGCUCUGGUAACAACUCGGGCUGAUCAUGAGGAUGAGAGAAUAAUGCUUCUUUCCAAAAUCAAUUCUCUGUAGGCUGACCUUGCUCGUGAAUGAGCUAAAAAUAUUGCAACUGAUCGCCAGCUGACCUAGUUGUUUCCUUUGUUCCUUC
rnacentral:lncRNA from 1 species